rnacentral:rRNA from 1 species
AAGUCAUUGGGACUCGAUUAAACCUAAAGGCGCAAUGAAAGUAAAGGUCCGCCUAGCGCGGACCGAGGGAGGACGGGCUCGUCUACGGGCGGGCCCCGCACUCCCGGGGCGUCUCGUCCUCAUCGCGAGGAGAGGCGCACCCAGAGCGUACACGCUGGGACCCGAAAGAUGGUGAACUAUGCCUGGUCAGGACGAAGUCAGGGGAAACCCUGAUGGAGGUCCGUAGCGAUUCUGACGUGCAAAUCGAUCGUCGGAACUGGGUAUAGGGGCGAAAGACUAAUCGAACCUUCUAGUAGCUGGUUCCCUCCGAAGUUUCCCUCAGGAUAGCUGGCGCUCGCCUUUGCGAGUCUCAUUCGGUAAAGCGAAUGAUUAGAGGCAUUGGGGUCGAAACGGCCUCAACCUAUUCUCAAACUUUAAAUGGGUGAGAUCUCCGGCUUGCUUGAAGCGUGAAGCCGCGAGAUAUCGGAUCACAGAGUGCCAAGUGGGCCACUUUUGGUAAGCAGAACUGGCGCUGUGGGAUGAACCAAACGCCGAGUUAAAGCGCCAAAAUCGACGCUUAUGGGAUACCAUGAAAGGCGUUGGUAACUUAAGACAGCAGGACGGUGG